rnacentral:rRNA from 1 species
UGAUAAAAAUUAGUGGCAGACGGGUGAGUAAUGCAUAGGAAUCUACCUAGUAGUAUGGGAUAGCCACUAGAAAUGGUGGGUAAUACUGUAUAAUCCCUGCGGGGGAAAGAUUUAUCGCUAUUAGAUGAGCCUAUGUUAGAUUAGCUAGUUGGUAGGGUAAAGGCCUACCAAGGCAGUGAUCUAUAGCUGGUCUGAGAGGAUGAUCAGCCACACUGGAACUGAGAUACGGUCCAGACUCCUACGGGAGGCAGCAGUGGGGAAUAUUGGACAAUGGGCGCAAGCCUGAUCCAGCUAUGCCGCGUGAGUGAGGAAGGCCUUAGGGUUGUAAAACUCUUUCAGUG